ensembl:snRNA LOC120095467 U6atac minor spliceosomal RNA
GUGUUUGUAAAAGGAGAGGUUAGCAUGGACCUUGACAAGGAUGGAAAGCCUCAAGCCUGGUAACAAGCACUGGCCAAGGCAACAACUGUUUUU